UGAGCGGAGAUAUAUGGAGCUUGCUUUAUAUAACUUAGCAGCGAACGGGUGAGUAACACGUAGAUAAUCUAUCCUAUACUGGGGGAUAGCCCGAUGAAAGUUGGAUUAAUACCGCAUAUAGCUAUAUAGUUGCAUGAUUAUGUAGUGAAAGAUUUAUUGGUAUAGGAGGAGUCUGCGGCACAUUAGCUAGUAGGUGAGGUAAAGGCUUACCUAGGCGACGAUGUGUAGCCGGUCUGAGAGGAUGAACGGCCACAAUGGAACUGAGACACGGUCCAUACUCCUACGGGAGGCAGCAGUGGGGAAUAUUGCACAAUGGGGGAAACCCUGAUGCAGCAACGCCGCGUGAGUGAAGAAGGUUUUCGGAUUGUAAAGCUCUGUUAGCAGGGAAGAGGAAGGACGGUACCUGCAGAGGAAGCCACGGCUAACUACGUGCCAGCAGCCGCGGUAAUACGUAGGUGGCAAGCGUUGUUCGGAAUAACUGGGCGUAAAGGAUGCGUAGGCGGUUAAACAAGUUAUAUGUUAAAUAUAUAGGCUUAACCUGUAGAAAGCAUAUAAAACUGUUUAACUAGAGUGCAGGAGAGGUAAGUGGAAUUCCUAGUGUAGCGGUGAAAUGCGUAGAGAUUAGGAAGAACACCAGUGGCGAAGGCGACUUACUGGACUGUAACUGACGCUGAGGCAUGAGAGCAUGGGGAGCAAACAGGAUUAGAUACCCUGGUAGUCCAUGCUGUAAACGAUGGGUACUAGGUGUGGGUUGUGAAUAACAAUUCGUGCCGUCGCAAACGCAAUAAGUA
rnacentral:rRNA from 1 species